ACAGAAAGCCGGUCUCCUCAUGAGAAACAGAUACACAGGACAAACUACACAAGUUUUCCAGAAGAAAAAGAACAGAGCUUGUUUUAAGAAAUUUGUACUUUUCAUUUCAUUACUUAGGAAUUACAAGAGACUUUGCAGAAGGGUAAAAAUGGGGAGCGACAUCCCUCAGAUAGAAAUGAGAUGCAAAGACCACGUGAGUUACCUGCCCGGUCCCAGUAAGGAGAAAUCAACAUCUCAUGGCAGAAGUUUCAGUGUACACUCCUGCCUUUAGUCCAACAUACAAACCAUUACAAGAGGAUGCAAUUUAUCCCUGUUUUCUUUUUUAAAGUAUGAAAGAGAGAAUUCACAAACACUAAAUCUUUCUAAAGGUACAACAUGGUAAAGGAAUGAAAGGGUCUGCAUAAAAUAAUCUAGAAAAAAAAAAAAGAAGGGAAGGUAGUUGAAUCUAUACCAGGGAUGGGCAAAUGACUGCCCAUGCAUGGCCUGUUUUGUAUGGGCAGUGAGUUAAGAAUAAAGAGCUGUAAAUAAAACAAAAAAAGAAUAAGCUGCAGAGACAUGUGGCCUGUAAAGCCUAAAAUAUUUAUUAGCUGGAUCUUUACAGAACAAAUCUGCUGAAUCCUGUUGUAUAC
rnacentral:sRNA from 1 species